AGGACGAACGCUGGCGGCGUGCUUAACACAUGCAAGUCGAGCGGAAAGGCCCUUCGGGGUACUCGAGCGGCGAACGGGUGAGUAACACGUGAGUAAUCUGCCCCUAGCUCUGGGAUAGCUCCGGGAAAACCGGGAUUAAUACCGGAUAUGACCACUUUAGACAUCUGCUGUGGUUGAAAGAAUUUCGGCUAGGGAUGAGCUCGCGGCCUAUCAGCUUGUUGGUGGGUAACGCCUACCAAGGCGACGACGGGUAG
rnacentral:rRNA from 1 species